UGUGACGUCAGGUGAAAACCAG
rnacentral:siRNA from 1 species